CAGGGCAUAGCUAAAAUAGUAAAGCACCUCCCUUACACCGAGGAGUUAGCCGUGCAAGUCGACUUGCCCUGA
rnacentral:tRNA from 1 species